rnacentral:lncRNA from 1 species
GCUACAUCACUGGUAUUUUACAUCUGGGUUUAUUUUCCCUUUAAGGAACUGAAUCUCUGGACCGCUGGGCACAAUCCCUGAGCAAGCUGACAGUAAUUCCAAAUAGCUAAUUCCUUUCCUCUCUCACCACACUAAUGUAAUCAGGUUUUUUGAUAUAUAUUGUUUUGCUUAUUUCAUGCUUGUAUGAUAUAAUUCUUGCAUUGGAUUUCAACUGAUUUUCUUAGUCAUGUGGAGAUGAGUUGUUAUUUUCAUGCUAUUAGAAGCUAUGUCGAAUAACAUGUACUUUUUCUGAAUAUCAGUUUGCAGUUGAAUGACAUAUGUGUUUGGGAAAACAUAAUGUCACUUAUUAAACAACACAUCUCUGGUGCCAAAUUAUCAGCAGAAAGUGAAGGAAAACUUGUCUAUAUUUUACCCUUAGAAGCGACCCAUAGAUUUCCAGAAAAAGAAAAAGAAAAAAGAAAGGACUUUGAGAACUGCUUCAGAAAGUGGCAAGGAAGAUGGAAUAAGUGUGUUCAAAGCAAGGCAGAAUAUUUGGAAGCUGGUAAUGAACUUUAUAAGGAUUUUUAUAAGGAACUGUCCUGGCCUGGGAAUUGA